GAUGAACGCUGGCGGCGUGCUUAACACAUGCAAGUCGAACGAUGAAGCCCAGCUUGCUGGGUGGGUUAGUGGCGAACGGGUGAGUAACACGUGAGCAACCUGCCCCUGACUCUGGGAUAAGCGCUGGAAACGGCGUCUAAUACUGGAUAUGUCCCGUCACCGCAUGGUGUGCGGGUGGAAAGAUUUUUCGGUUGGGGAUGGGCUCGCGGCCUAUCAGCUUGUUGGUGGGGUAAUGGCUCACCAAGGCGUCGACGGGUAGCCGGCCUGAGAGGGUGACCGGCCACACUGGGACUGAGACACGGCCCAGACUCCUACGGGAGGCAGCAGUGGGGAAUAUUGCACAAUGGGCGGAAGCCUGAUGCAGCAACGCCGCGUGAGGGAUGACGGCCUUCGGGUUGUAAACCCCUUUUAGCAGGGAAGAAGCGAAAGUGACGGUACCUGCAGAAAAAGCACCGGCUAACUACGUG
rnacentral:rRNA from 1 species